rnacentral:rRNA from 1 species
GGAUCAUUGUCGAACCU